ACUUGUCUGAAUGGGACCCCAGCAAGGCACACGUGGUCUUCAAUGCGAUGGGCGCUUCCAGGGGACCCGGCGUCCCUUGGGUCCAGGAAGUCUUAUACUGUCUCCUCUCACGGCCCCGACAGAAACGGUUUCUGAGGAGUAGAAGUGUCCUAAGUGGAUUGGAAAUUACAAAUGCCGGAAAGAACCUAGGGAUGGAAAGCAGCCCUCAACUUUGACCAACCGCCGUGGGUUAGGUUUACAGUGGGGAAAAAAAAUAGAAAUUGUGCCUGACUUCAAUGACCGCCACUAUUUGAAGCAAACUGCCCAUCCAAGCCUUAUCAUCCCCUUUAACACCCUAAUGUUUCUGUCCAUGUGGACUUCGACGUGGUCCUCUAGAAUGGUUUUGUACUUCCCCGCGACUCAGCCCACCAGCACCCAGUUGAAAUAAACAGCCAUGUUGCUCACAGAAAGCCUGUUUGGUGAUCUCUUCACACGGACACAUGAAACAUUUGGUGCCAAAGACCCGGGUCAGUGGGACUCCUUUUGGAGACCAGUCCCCUGUCCUCACCCUCACUCCGUGAAGAGAUCCACCUACGACCUCAGGUCCUCAGACCAACCAGCCCAAGGAACAUCUCACCGAUUUUAAAUCAGGACCCCACUAGAAAUUGGACUGUCCAACUGGCCCAAGGCUCUGAUCGACUCCUUCCCAGAUCUCCUCGGCUUAGCAGCUGAAGACUGACACUGCCUGAUCGCCUCGGAAGCCCCUUGGACCAUCACGGACGCUGAGCUUCGGGUAACUCUCACAGUGAAGGGAAACUGAAUUCCAAAAAGGAAACGAACUAACUCAAAUUUUCCCUGAUCUGGAAUUACAAGCAUCAGCUCAUUAUUCCUGCAAUAAAACCGAUUGGCCAGGAGCUAAACAGAAGACUUCUAAAAAAUGAAAACCCCUGGCCGGGCGCGGUGGCUCACGCCUGUAAUCCCAGCACUUUGGGACGCCGAGGCAGGCGGAUCACGAGGUCAGGAGAUCGAGACCAUCCCGGCUAACACUGUGAAACCCCGUCUCUACUAAAAAUGCGAAAAAUUAGCCGGGCGUGUUGGCGGGCGCCUGUAGUCCCAGCUACUCGGGAGGCUGAGGCAGGAG
rnacentral:lncRNA from 1 species